CCUUGACAUACUAAGAACUUUCCAGAGAUGGAUUGGUGCCUUCGGGAACUUAGAUACAGGUGCUGCAUGGCUGUCGUCAGCUCGUGUCGUGAGAUGUUGGGUUAAGUCCCGNAACGAGCGCAACCUUUUCCUUAUUUGCCAGCGGGUCAUGCCGGGAACUUUUAAGGAUACUGCCAGUGACAAACUGGAGGAAGGCGGGGACGACGUCAAGUCAUCAUGGCCCUUACGGCCAGGGCUACACACGUGCUACAAUGGUCGGUACAAAGGGUUGCUACCUCGCGAGAGGAUGCUAAUCUCAAAAAGCCGAUCGUAGUCCGGAUCGCAGUCUGCAACUCGACUGCGUGAAGUCGGAAUCGCUAGUAAUCGCGGAUCAGAAUGCCGCGGUGAAUACGUUCCCGGGCCUUGUACACACCGCCCGUCACACCAUGGGAGUUUGUUGCACCAGAAGUAGGUAGUCUAACCGCAAGGAGGACGCUUACCACGGUGUGGCCGAUGACUGGGGUGAAGUCGUAACAAGGUAGGCGUAGAUGA
rnacentral:rRNA from 1 species